GAUGAAGAACGCAGCGAAACGCGAUAAGUAAUGUGAAUUGCAGAAUCCAGUGAAUCAUCGAAUCUUUGAACGCACAUUGCGCCCGCCAGCAUUCUGGCGGGCAUGCCUGUUCGAGCGUCAUUUCAACCCUCAAGCCCCCGGGCUUGGUGUUGGGGAUCGGCGUGCCCUCGCGGCGCGCCGUCCCCUAAAUCUAGUGGCGGUCUCGCUGUAGCUUCCUCUGCGUAGUAGCAACACUCGCACUGGAUCGCAGCGCGGCCACGCCGUUAAACCCCCCACUUCUGAAAGUUUGACCUCGGAUCAGGUAGGAAUACCCGCUGAACUUAAGCAUAUCAAUAAGCGGAGGA
rnacentral:misc_RNA from 1 species